rnacentral:rRNA from 1 species
GAUGAACGCUAGCGGCAGGCUUAACACAUGCAAGUCGAGGGGUAGGUUACUUCGGUAAUUGAGACCGGCGCACGGGUGCGUAACGCGUAUACAAUCUACCUUUUACAGAGGGAUAGCCCAGAGAAAUUUGGAUUAAUACCUCAUAGUAUUUUUGAAUCGCAUGAUUUGAUUAUUAAAGUUCCAACGGUAAAAGAUGAGUAUGCGUCCCAUUAGCUAGAUGGUAAGGUAACGGCUUACCAUGGCUACGAUGGGUAGGGGUCCUGAGAGGGAGAUCCCCCACACUGGUACUGAGACACGGACCAGACUCCUACGGGAGGCAGCAGUGAGGAAUAUUGGACAAUGGGCGCAAGCCUGAUCCAGCCAUGCCGCGUGUGUGAAGAA